CUACCUACGGGACGCAGCAGUAGGGAAUCUUCCACAAUGGACGAAAGUCUGAUGGAGCAACGCCGCGUGAGUGAAGAAGGGUUUCGGCUCGUAAAGCUCUGUUGGUAGUGAAGAAAGAUAGAGGUAGUAACUGGCCUUUAUUUGACGGUAAUUACUUAGAAAGUCACGGCUAACUACGUGCCAGCAGCCGCGGUAAUACGUAGGUGGCAAGCGUUGUCCGGAUUUAUUGGGCGUAAAGCGAGUGCAGGCGGUUCAAUUAAUCUGAUGUGGAAAGCUU
rnacentral:rRNA from 1 species